UUUUGAAUCCGUGUAUAGAGCCUUUUUAAUGUAUGUAUCAUUAGUUAAAGCCCAACAUUUGAAUCAUGAAAACGAGGCUCUAUAGUGAAGAUGACGUUCUUUCUGGAAGCGUGUAUUGUAACUUGACGUCUUCAGUUACCUCGGUGCCUUUAAGUGCAUAUGAAGCGAAUAUUUUUAUUACUUCCCUAGAAAACCACUUUGAAAUUAAUAAUAUUGCCGUUUUCUGUUUGUCAAUAUCUAUUUUGAUUGAGAAGUUAUUGAAGUUUCUAUAUUUUUAUUGAUGACGUUACAUUGUUUGCACAGGUCAUGUGACUAAAACAAAUUAGCUUCAUUCUCUGCCAGUACUCAGUAGAAAUGGCUGAAACUUUCAACAUAUAUAGCACUUACACAAUUGUUGCAGGGAUUUCGAGUGGAAUUUUUAUACAUUUUAAUUCUAUUUAACGAGGAGCAGUUGUGAAAAAUACAACUGUGGAUCCUCUGACAGGAAUUGAACCUGCGCCACUGCAAUCUCUUCAACAAUUAGUUCUAUCACGUGAGAUUUCUAAAAUCUUGAUAUUUCCCCAGACACUUUUAGAAUUACACAUUGUUGCAACAGAGAUGCUGUUGUCAUGGAAACAUAUUCCGCCCCAGUCCUCUCACUAUAAAUCUCUAAUCUAUUUUACGGGUUUGGUAUAGAUUGAACUGCG
rnacentral:lncRNA from 1 species